AUUGAACGCUGGCGGCAUGCCUUACACAUGCAAGUCGAACGGUAACAGGUCUUCGGAUGCUGACGAGUGGCGAACGGGUGAGUAAUACAUCGGAACGUGCCUAGUAGUGGGGGAUAACUACUCGAAGGAGUGGCUAAUACCGCAUGAGAUCCACGGAUGAAAGCAGGGGAUCGCAAGACCUUGUGCUACUAGAGCGGCCGAUGGCAGAUUAGGUAGUUGGUGGGAUAAAAGCUUACCAAGCCGACGAUCUGUGGCUGGUCUGAGAGGACGAUCAGCCAAACUGGGACUGAGACACGGCCCAGACUCCUACGGGAGGCAGCAGUGGGGAAUUUUGGGCAAUGGGCGCAAGCCUGAUCCAGCAAUGCCGCGUGCAGGAUGAAGGCCUUCGGGUUGUAAACUGCUUUUGUACGGAACGAAAAGCCCUGGGUUAAUACCCUGGGGUCAUGACGGUACCGUAAGAAUAAGCACCGGCUAACUACGUGCCAGCCGCCGCAGUAACAC
rnacentral:rRNA from 1 species